rnacentral:tRNA from 1 species
GCGGCGGUGGAGGAACUGGAAUACUCGAUGCACUCAAAAUGCAUUGCCCUUUCGGGAUUGUGGGUUCGAAUCCCACCCGCCGCA